GACGAACGCUGGCGGCGUGCUUAACACAUGCAAGUCGAACGGAAAGAGAUGAAAGAGCUUGCUCUUUUAUUAAUUUCAGUGGCAAACGGGUGAGUAACACGUAAACAACCUGCCUUAAGGAUGGGGAUAACAGACGGAAACGACUGCUAAUACCGAAUACGUUCUAAGCAUCGCAUGAUGCAUAGAAGAAAGGGUGGCCUCUACAAGAAAGCUAUCGCCUUAAGAGGGGUUUGCGACUGAUUAGGUAGUUGGUGAGGUAACGGCUCACCAAGCCGACGAUCAGUAGCCGGUCUGAGAGGAUGAACGGCCACACUGGAACUGAGACACGGUCCAGACUCCUACGGGAGGCAGCAGUGGGGAAUCUUCCGCAAUGGACGAAAGUCUGACGGAGCAACGCCGCGUGAACGAAGAAGGUCUUCGGAUUGUAAAGUUCUGUGAUUCGGGACGAAAGGGUUUGUGGUGAAUAAUCAUAGACAUUGACGGUACCGAAAAAGCAAGCCACGGCUAACUACGUGCCAGCAGCCGCGGUAAUACGUAGGUGGCAAGCGUUGUCCGGAAUUAUUGGGCGUAAAGCGCGCGCAGGCGGUUUCUUAAGUCCAUCUUAAAAGCGUGGGGCUCAACCCCAUGAGGGGAUGGAAACUGGGAAGCUGGAGUAUCGGAGAGGAAAGUGGAAUUCCUAGUGUAGCGGUGAAAUGCGUAGAGAUUAGGAAGAACACCGGUGGCGAAGGCGACUUUCUAGACGAAAACUGACGCUGAGGCGCGAAAGCGUGGGGAGCAAACAGG
rnacentral:rRNA from 1 species